AUAAGGUCUAACCUGCCCACUGAAUUUUGUUUGAAGGGCCGCAGUAUUUUGACUGUGCAAAGGUAGCAUAAUCAUUAGUCUUUUAAUUGAAGGCUGGUAUGAAUGGUUGGACGAGAUACAAGCUGUGUCAUAAAAAUUAAAAUUUGAAUUUAUCUUUUUAGUUAAAAGACUAAAAUAAAAUUAAAAGACGAGAAGACCCUAUAGAGCUUUAUAUAAUUAAUAUUUAAAUUAUUAAGAUUUUUUAAAUUAAAAUAUUAUUUUAUAUUUUGUUGGGGUGACAAUAAAAUUUAUAAAACUUUUAUUUUUAUUAAACAUUAAUUUAUGAUUAGAUGAUCCAGUUUUAUUGAUUAUAAAUUUAAGUUACCUUAGGGAUAACAGCGUAAUUUUUUUUGAGAGUUCUUAUCGACAAAAAAGAUUGCGACCUCGAUGUUGGAUUAAGAGUAAUUUUGGGUGUAGAAGUUCAAAAU
rnacentral:rRNA from 4 species